rnacentral:rRNA from 1 species
CAGUAGCCGCGGGAAUACGUAGGUGGCAAGCGUUGUCCGGAAUUAUUGGGCGUAAAGGGCUCGCAGGCGGCUUCUUAAGUCUGAUGUGAAAGCCCCCGGCUCAACCGGGGAGGGUCAUUGGAAACUGGGAAACUUGAGUGCAGAAGAGGAGAGUGGAAUUCCACGUGUAGCGGUGAAAUGCGUAGAGAUGUGGAGGAACACCAGUGGCGAAGGCGACUCUCUGGUCUGUAACUGACGCUGAGGAGCGAAAGCGUGGGGAGCGAACAGGAUUAGAUACCCGUGUAGUCCCUGUCUCUUAUAU